AGCUGGGAGGGCGCCCCGGCAAAAGGGAUGAUGAUCCCAAAAUAUCUCUGAAGAGUCCUUUGGGAGAAUAUCGAGUUGGUUUGCACAUUCUCCCUAAGACGUGAAUGCCCAGGGUGGGCAAUAGAGGKAGUCAGGAAGGGGUCUUGAUAAUCCAUCCUUGGCAGGGGCAAUAAGAGGAGUACAGAGCAAAGUGGUUAAGGCGAGGAGUGGCAGGGCUGGGCGUGGAAGUGCAGGACUGGGAGCACGGGCUGGGGUCCUGUGGGGAGGCACCAGGCCGGGCUGGAGCUGUGAGAAAACAGUGGGCUCAGCGCCGGGCAGUCCCUGACCCUACGACCCGCCCAGGGCAGGGGCAGCAGGGGCCUCCAGUCUCCAUGAGGCUGYGGGAUUCUCCGGCCGCCUGUGGUGCUGCUGGCAGUACAGUCCACUGGGAACACCAGGGGAGGCUGCGUUUGGACACUGCAAAAGGAAUAUCUGGGAAAUGCACAUUGUGCGUGGAAAGAUCAGGAUUUUAAGAAUUUUGUUUGAGUUACUGGAGAAACGAGUGAUUUUGAUCUGUGUGAGAAGGGGUAAGGAAAAGGUGAUGGCAGAGUUAUUACAACCCUGGAAAAAUAAACUGCAGGAUGCAAAGGGGAACCUGAGAGAGAGGGGAUGGGGUUGGCCACAAGGAUGUGGCAAAGGCAUUCGCUCCUCAGCAAGGGAGAGCAAACCCCAACACCGGUUGGGGGAAAAAAAGAGGAAAAAUUUGUGUGCUAUUUGCAGGGCAGAGGGACACUGGAAGCGGGAAUGUCCACAGAAACAGCUGGAUCCUCAGGAGGAGGAAAUCCAGAGGAUAAUGGAGUCUUAAGAAUGUCAGAGGAUCCUAUUAUACCAGGGACCCACCACACAGGAACUCUUGAUAACUUUUAAAAUUGGUCUGGAUCGGGAGGAACUGUGUUUCCUGGCAGACACGGGGGCCCCUCAAUCCGCUUUCAAUUUUAUCCCUAAGGCAGGGAAGACUGUCAAAAAGUUCUUUGAUUAUUCAAGGCGUGAGUGGAAAAGACGAAUGGGUGUGCUUUAUCCAAUCGCUAUUAGUAUAUGUGAGGAACAGGUUUGAAAAGCAUGAAAUCCUGCUGUUACAAACACAUAUUAUAGUGUUGGCUUUCGCAAAUAUUAAGAUGAGUGUUUAUAGCUUGGGUUCCUGAGCCAUAGCUAUGUGUGAUAAACACAUAUUGUAGUGCUAGUUCUCGCAGAAAUUCAAGGUAGAUGCUAUGUGUUGUGCAUCAUAAUAUAAUAUUGUUUUACUUGUAGAAAAAGUUUAGUUAUGCAGACAUAGUUUGGCAGAAGCCUUCCUCAAAAUAUAUGUUGCUGUGGGUCUUUUUACUCAAAAGGCAAAACGAGCUGUUGAGGGUUGUUUGAUUUGUGCUAAAACCAAUGACAGGGUUGCAAAGAAAACUGCCAGGGGAGGGAAGCCUUGGGCUGCAGUCCCUUCCAAAAAUGCCAGAUAUAUUUUACUGAAAUGCCCCAAGUGACUUACUUCUGACAGGGAGGCCAGAAGCAUUGGCAACUGCUUCAGCAACUACAGGAUUGGUUGAUAUGGUAUUUCUGGAACAAAUAAUUCCAAAAUGUGGAAAUAGUGGAAGCAGUAGACUCAAACAGGGGAACACACUUUACAGGAAAAAUUCUUCAAAGGGGUCACAGCUGUUUUAGGCUUACAAUGGAGCUUCCAUACCCCCUGACAUCACCAGAGUUCAGGCCGAGUAUAAAGAAUGAAUGGGAAAUAAAGAAAAACCUCUUGAAGUUGGUAAUAGAACAAUGCCAUGGGUACAGUUUUUGCCACUGGCUUUAGCAAGAAUAAGGGCCAGGCCCAGGGAAGAUACUCACUCAUCUCCCUUUGAAUUGAUGUUUGGGAUUCCUUACCCUUGUAAUUGUCAGCCUAGUGGGGGGACAGAGAUAAGCAAUGUAUAUUUAAAGCAGCCUGUGGCCAGRAUACUGUCUCUUGUGAAAUGUCUUCGACAGGAAACUCAGCUGGCACAGACCCUGCCUUUGGACUCUGCUGUUCACAGCAUCCAAUCAGGACACUGGGUCCUGGUUAAGUAGAAAGAAGCAGCACUGGUAGUGAAGUGGUGUGGACCUUUCCAAGUGUUACUGACCAUAGAUACAGCCAUCAAGACAGCUGAACACAGGUGGACGCAUCACACUCGGGUCAAGUUUCUAAGGUCCCCGAGAUUUGGACAUCUCAGCUGGAGGAGAAGGAUGGGAGGCCACAACUGACACUCCACAGGAGCUGACUGGAGCAGCAGCCAGGGUGUCAAAAUCAGGGGAAGCCCCUGUGCCUAACCACAGACUGUCUGCUGAAAUAGUCCGUGUGGGCAUCACUCCCUUCAGGUCUCCAGUCACUGCAAGGGGCUAACAUUUGCUGUCUUUGUUUUGUUUCUGUGCCUUCACUUGCCACAGGUCGUGCAGAAGAUAAAAUUAGGAUGGUACCAAUGAAUCAUGCUUUUCAGAGCAAGGAGUUACCAAAUUUGAAAAUACCACUUCUGAAAACCAAAGGGAGACGCUCGGGGUUUGCAUUGGAGUCAGUCGCAMGGUGGCAGCCAGGACUCGCGGGAGCCGCCGCCCACGUGGGGUGCGAGGCUUGCAGAAAUUGCUGCCUGCCUUGCUCUGCUGAGGAUUUUUUCCCUGAAGUACUUUCGCAGCAGAAUUUUCUGUAAUUUUCACACCGAAUUGUUGAUAAUUACGGGAGCAUGAAUAGAUUUCCAAGAGCAGCAUGACCUGCAUUGUGCGAAGGCUGCAUGACUGACCUGUCAUGUGAGCCAGAGAAUAAAAAUACUCUAUGCAUUAGGUGGCUUUAUGCCACAGCUUUCAACUGUGGCAAACUUCCAGUAUAGCUUUAUACCUUCUAAAGAACAGGGCACCUUUCAGUACUCUUACAUCUUGGCUGCUAUGAGCAGGAUCUCGCAGUCAAGUGCCUGGAAAAAGGCCAUUUCUCCAGUUCCAGUUCAGGUCAGUGUGACCUGAGAGCUGACCAAAGGAAACAUGGCAGAAUGGUGAGAGUCAGCCCUUUCUCCUGCAAGUAAUUUUCUCUUGAGCAGCASUUUUAGGAUAUGUCACAGCUGAAGGAAGCAGAGGGAAGAUGGUAUACUGCUUACUGAGGAUUGCAGGGUCCAGGACAGUGUUGUGCUCUGAAACCCUAAAUGCUAAGUAGCACCAGCUUUAGCCUUUUCCAGCUUUUGCUAAUCUCCAUUCUGAAAAAAAUCGUCAAUUCUAAUUAAAAAGAGUAAAAGAUUUAGGUUUCUCGUAUGUCUCAGAAAAAUAAAUGUAGUCUGUAACUAAAAAUUACCCUAGUUUGCUGAACUGUUAUGACUAUUUUCUAGGAAAAAAAUUACUCCACUGCAUCUUUAAAACAGUACUUUGGCACACUGCCCUAGAAGACUGCSCAUGCAUCUGCAAAUCUGUAGAUUUUAGAAAAUCUAUAUAUUUUCUAGAAAGUCAUACAAUUAAAUCAGACCUUCGCUCACAUGUCAUACUUCACAUGCAACUCGUUAAUAAGAAAGGUGAGUGGAAUGGAGAUAAAGAAACAGUAAAAUAAAGUGUCGCCAUGACCUGUAGUAUUUAGAAAAAUCUGGUGCUUGUUCCAGAUUGACWGCCAUGCCAUACCUCUCCAAAUUAUGUGUCUAACAAAAACCAGCUGGGUGUUCUUUUACGUUUUUUUGGCCACCAUGUCCAGAAACAGCAAGAAGUUUUUAGGUUGUGUUUGUACAAGUAGCUAUCACAGCAGAUUUUAAAUCCUCUACACUGUCAGCUCCCUUCUUUUCUUCGGCCAGUAAUGCUUAGCUAUACAGAUGAAUCUAACUUUUUAGAAGAGUUUAAAGAGCGCUUACAUUGUAAGUACAUUUUACUAAUAAAUUUUGAUCAAAUCAGGGAAAAAUAAUUUCAUAUUUAAGAAUUAAAAAGAAACAAGUCAAUACAAAUCAGGGUGCUAAAACUCUAUGGUUCACUAGCAUCUGUUUUACAUAGAAAAUACAGUGGCCUAAUUUCAGCUCCUAAUUUUAAGUGACUUGCGUAUUUGAUUCUGGUUUUGGGGCCUUUUUAUUGGUACACUAUAUGAAUCCACACAAACUGAACUAUAUAAUGACAUAGUCUUUAAAAUUUUAAAGUAUGUCCUAAUGUGCAAUAAAUGAUUAAAUAWUAAAGUUGCUUUUGUAUUGCUCAGCAGUGAUUUGUUCCUCACAAUUUGUACUGCUAAUACAUAUGUAGUCUUUCAAACAAGUUUCCACAUGUGUAUUUGAACAGCAAACUAAAAAUCACCAAAGCCCCUCUCUCUGCCACACGACGACAUGCUUAAUCCUAAUCCAUUGUAGUGUGACAGACAUUACUGACUUAAAGACUCUGAUAAAACAUAAAUAAAUCUAGUUUUGGCAAGGAAGAAGCUUUUGGAAUUUACCACACUGAUCUAUAAAUCCUCAUUAACUUUAUAGUGCACCGCUCAAUUAGAAAACUAUUGAAUCAAGAUGCUUCUCAAGGAAUCAAUUUACACCCCAUGAUACGUGGUGGCAUGGACAGCUGCUUAACUGAAAUUGUAAUUUCAGUUAAUUGGCUUGCCUUCCAGUGAUGUGGGUGGCAACCUGUACAUUACAGGUCAGUGCAUCCUCCUCUCAGCACUUUGCAUGUUCUGCCCUCUCUUAGAGCAGGUUUCACAGCAAGGUGCCAAAAAGUACCUGACACAACUUGCCAGUGGAUCACAGCCACACUCCCACCACUCUGAAGAACUUCUCAUGGGA